UACGAAGGGUGCAAGCGUUACUCGGAAUUACUGGGCGUAAAGCGUGCGCAGGCGGUUAUGUAAGACAGAUGUGAAAUCCCCGGGCUUAACCUGGGAACUGCAUUUGUGACUGCAUAGCUAGAGUACGGCAGAGGGGGAUGGAAUUCCGCGUGUAGCAGUGAAAUGCGUAGAUAUGCGGAGGAACACCGAUGGCGAAGGCAAUCCCCUGGGCCUGUACUGACGCUCAUGCACGAAAGCGUGGGGAGCAAACAGG
rnacentral:rRNA from 1 species